GAUGAACGCUGGCGGCGUGCCUAAUACAUGCAAGUCGAGCGAACAGACGAGGAGCUUGCUCCUUCGACGUUAGCGGCGGACGGGUGAGUAACACGUAGGUAACCUACCUAUAAGACUGGGAUAACUUCGGGAAACCGGAGCUAAUACCGGAUAAUAUUUCGAACCGCAUGGUUCGAUAGUGAAAGAUGGCUUUGCUAUCACUUAUAGAUGGACCUGCGCCGUAUUAGCUAGUUGGUAAGGUAACGGCUUACCAAGGCAACGAUACGUAGCCGACCUGAGAGGGUGAUCGGCCACACUGGAACUGAGACACGGUCCAGACUCCUACGGGAGGCAGCAGUAGGGAAUCUUCCGCGAUGGGCGAAAGCCUGACGGAGCAACGCCGCGUGAGUGAUGAAGGUCUUCGGAUCGUAAAACUCUGUUAUUAGGGAAGAACAAACGUGUAAGUAACUGUGCACGUCUUGACGGUACCUAAUCAGAAAGCCACGGCUAACUACGUG
rnacentral:rRNA from 1 species